rnacentral:lncRNA from 1 species
GCCGAAAUUGAAAAAGUCUAAAACGUCUUCAAUGAAAUUCCAUGAUACAGAAUCAAAAGCUUUUUUCAAAAUCUAUGAGAAGGAGCAGUCCUGGUAAAUCAUUUAGUUCUGUAUGAAAUAAUAUAUCGUAAAUAAGACGAGUAUUCUCCCCUAUAAAUCUACCCGGAAUAAAGCCAGUCUGAUCACUAUUAAUAAUUUGAGGUAGAACUAAUUUUAUACGCUCAGCUAUGCAGCUUGAUGCUAAUUUAUAUGUGGUAUUUAGUAAACUUAUUGGUCGCCAGUUUUUCAUGAAUUGUCUCGGUUUAUCUCCCUUUGGUAUACAGGUUAUAAUACCUUGUCUUUGAGUAAUUGAUAAUUCCCCCUUUUCGUAACCAUUAAUUAUAGACCGAAAUACAAAUUUUCCUAUAUCUAUCCAAAAAAACUUGAAAAAUUCAUUUGUGAAACCAUCUGACCCAGGGC